rnacentral:rRNA from 1 species
GAUGAACGCUGGCGGCGUGCCUAAUACAUGCAAGUCGAGCGAACAGACGAGGAGCUUGCUCGUCUGACGUUAGCGGCGGAGGGGAGAGUAACACGUGGAUAACCUACCUAUAAGACUGGGAUAACUUCGGGAAACCGGAGCUAAUACCGGAUAAUAUAUUGAACCGCAUGGUUCAAUAGUGAAAGACGGUUUUGCUGGCACGUAUAGAUGGAUCCGCGCCGGAUGAGCUAGUUGGUAAGGUAACGGCUUACCAAGGCAACGAUGCGUAGCCGACCUGAGAGGGUGGUCGGCCACACUGGAAGUGAGACACGGUCCAGACUCCUACGGGAGGCAGCAGUAGGGUAUCUGCCGCAGUGGGCGAAAGCCUGACGCAGCGACGCGGCGUGAGUGACGAAGGUCUUCGGAUCGUAAAACUCUGUUAUUAGGGAAGAACAAAUGUGUACGUAACUAUGCACGUAUUGACGGUACCUAAUCAGAAAGCAACGGCUAACUACGUG